UAACACAUGCNAGUCGAACGAGAGAUGAGGAGCUUGCUCUUCAAAUCGAGUGGCGAACGGGUGAGUAACGCGUGAGGAACCUGCCUCAAAGAGGGGGACAACAGUUGGAAACGACUGCUAAUACCGCAUAAGCCCACGGCUCGGCAUCGAGCAGAGGGAAAAGGAGCAAUCCGCUUUGAGAUGGCCUCGCGUCCGAUUAGCUAGUUGGUGAGGUAACGGCCCACCAAGGCGACGAUCGGUAGCCGGACUGAGAGGUUGAACGGCCACAUUGGGACUGAGACACGGCCCAGACUCCUACGGGAGGCAGCAGUGGGGAAUAUUGCACAAUGGGGGAAACCCUGAUGCAGCGACGCCGCGUGGAGGAAGAAGGUCUUCGGAUUGUAAACUCCUGUUGUUGAGGAAGAUAAUGACGGUACUCAACAAGGAAGUGACGGCUAACUACGUGCCAGCAGCCGCGGUAAAACGUAGGUCACAAGCGUUGUCCGGAAUUACUGGGUGUAAAGGGAGCGCAGGCGGGAGAACAAGUUGGAAGUGAAAUCCAUGGGCUCAACCCAUGAACUGCUUUCAAAACUGUUUUUCUUGAGUAGUGCAGAGGUAGGCGGAAUUCCCGGUGUAGCGGUGGAAUGCGUAGAUAUCGGGAGGAACACCAGUGGCGAAGGCGGCCUACUGGGCACCAACUGACGCUGAGGCUCGAAAGUGUGGGURGCAAACAGGAUUAGAUACCCUGGUAGUCCACACCGUAAACGAUGAUUACUAGGUGUUGGAGGAUUGACCCCUUCAGUGCCGCAGUUAACACAAUAAGUAAUCCACCUGGGGAGUACGACCGCAAGGUUGAAACUCAAAGGAAUUGACGGGGGCCCGCACAAGCAGUGGAGUAUGUGGUUUAAUUCGACGCAACGCGAAGAACCUUACCAAGUCUUGACAUCCCUUGACGAUGCUGGAAACAGUAUUUCUCUUCGGAGCAAGGAGACAGGUGGUGCAUGGUUGUCGUCAGCUCGUGUCGUGAGAUGUUGGGUUAAGUCCCGCAACGAGCGCAACCCUUAUGGUCAGUUACUACGCAAGAGGACUCUGGCCAGACUGCCGUUGACAAAACGGAGGAAGGUGGGGAUGACGUCAAAUCAUCAUGCCCUUUAUGACUUGGGCUACACACGUACUACAAUGGCGUUAAACAAAGAGAAGCAAGACCGCGAGGUGGAGCAAAACUCAGAAACAACGUCCCAGUUCGGACUGCAGGCUGCAAC
rnacentral:rRNA from 1 species